GGGACCGUGUUUGAUGAAGACCAGACCCAAGAGUUUUGGAUGGACGGGGAGCCAAACAAUAAAGACAACAAUGAACAUUGUGUCCAUUUCCAGGCUAAAGAGCUCAAAUCAUGAAUGAUUUAAAUUGUGAAUCUACCAUAAGCUUCAUCUGUAAGUGGAACUGCGAAUCAUCUGAGCUAUGCGGUGCAAUAUUAGGACACAAAUAUUGAAUUGUUCUGAUUACUCACGUAUGAAGCAAUGAGAAAAAAUGGCCACCGUCCUUCUGGCCACCAUCCAUGCCCGCUUAUGGGUCUCAUUUUCCUCCCCAGUUAAAGUUCUCCCAAAGGAGCCUGGAAUGAUGAUUAAGGGACUUGACCAGCUGGGCUAAGUGAUGCCUCCAUCUCAUCAGGCAGCCACUUGAAGAACCAGACUUUGCACUCUACAUCAUCAUUACCAGAACCACAGACCAGGCCAUGCCAUGCCAUGCUUUCACAUUCUUUAUCACUAUUAAGCCUUCACACUUAUACAUUUGCCCACCACUGAUCUUGCUCAGGCUCCCUAUUUCUACCUCCUUGGUUGUAGAUGCUGUUUGGGAGAGGUAGAAAUAGGGAGCCUGAGCAAGAUCAGUAGUGGGCAAAUGUAUAAGUGUGAAGGCUUCGGACUCUCAAAUGGUCCUGCUUUUCAGAACUAUUCUCUAUCAUUUGCAUCCAGGCAGCUUGGUGGAACAGUGGAUAGAUCCUGGGUCCAGAGUCAGGAAGACUUAAAUUCAAAUCUGAGACACUUCUAACUAUGUGACCCUGGACGAGUCAUUCAACCUCUGUAUGCUUCACUUUCAACCAUAAAAUGGGAAUGAAAGCAA